rnacentral:rRNA from 1 species
GACGAACGCUGGCGGCGUGCUUAACACAUGCAAGUCGAACGAUGAACCCGGAGCUUGCUCUGGGGGAUUAGUGGCGAACGGGUGAGUAACACGUGAGUAACCUGCCCUGGACUCUGGGAUAAGCGUUGGAAACGACGUCUAAUACCGGAUAGGACCUUGGAUCGCAUGAUCUGGGGUGGAAAGUUUUUUCGGUCUGGGAUGGACUCGCGGCCUAUCAGCUUGUUGGUGAGGUAAUGGCUCACCAAGGCGUCGACGGGUAGCCGGCCUGAGAGGGUGACCGGCCACACUGGGACUGAGACACGGCCCAGACUCCUACGAGAGGCAGCAGUGGGGAAUAGUGCACAAUGGGCGAAAGCCUGAUGCAGCAACGCCGCGUGCGGGAUGACGGCCUUCGGGUUGUAAACCGCUUUUAGUAGGGAAGAAGGGCUUCGGCUUGACGGUACCUGCAGAAAAAGGACCGGCUAACUACGUG